CAGUGUGUGACGCUGCCACUGGCACCAGGGGUGCCCCGAGCACUUCUUCCUUAGGUGCUCAAACUCACCCAAGGGAUGGGUGCAGUGUGGAAUCCCUGCAUAUAUGCUGGAAAUCACUCAUGCUGCUCUCGUUAGCCCGAGUCUUUAUCACUGUGACAAAGGCUGAGAAACAGCGCGAAAAGAGGCCGGGCUCUGAAGUUCCUGUCUUGUUUUCCUUGUUGACCAGCUUUUGUCCAGUGGUAGCCAUCUUGUGCCUUGGGAAGUCUGAGAGGUCCAGAAAGCACCCCACGCAGUGGAUAAGAAAACAACAUACAAAGAGCUCCUGUCCGGCUUGCUCUCUGAUUUCCAGAAGGGCAAAUCUGUGUGACUCCUCUCUGCGUCAGGCUCAGGGCAACAUUUUCUGCAGGACAUGAAUCACUGAAACAGUUGGAUCAAGUCUUGGCUGGAGUCUGCCCAAAGCUUCUUCAUUCUGCAGAACAUACUCCUGAGGGUAUAUCUGUGCUCACAGUUUGUUACUGUCUCUGUCUGCUUCAUUACCUACCUCUGGUCCUUUGACUAUCUCCAUUCAGAUGUGCUACUCUGCUACGUACCUGAAACCUCCACUGCUAAAGUCAUGGCACUCAGGACAGUUCACUCCGUGAGCUCUGCUCCUUAGAGAACGUGGCAUGGACAUGCUGUUCUUUCACUCCAUGGGAGGGUUUCUCCAGGGAUCCACGUGCACCAUUGCUCUGAGGAGCCCUGACCAAAGACUGUGGAAACUGCUUAGCACUGUGUUAGGAAAGCUCACAAUUCCUUCGCUGUGCUGGUCCCUCAUCCCUGCAGUGAUGCUUUAGAUGACAUCAGUGCAUCAGAUAUUUUUAGUAUGUAAAAUGGGUGCUUUUCCAAGAUGUAUUGCAAACCAUGUCUUUCUCAUUUAUCAUAUAUGGCAUUAUUCUACUCAUUAAAUUCAAUUAGAUCACUGCCAUAACAUUUAGCUUGACUAUUUUCUACUGCUCUUGUUUUGCUUUUCAGGGCAAUGCUGCUGGUUUAGUACCAUGAUGCCUGUGUAUUUCUAUCUCACAUCUGAUUAAUAAAUGUUAUAUUUGCUGUCAGGCUGUAGCCAGGCCGUUAAGCUCUCCCAAAA